AGCCAGCAACUUUUCCAGGUCAGCAGGAAGCCUUUUUAACAGGCAGAGCAUGCAGAAGGAAGAAGAGCUAUCGCCAGGCGGUGCAGGUUCACGAAGUCCAUCAAAUGCGAAAUCAUUAGAGGACUCCUCCGAUUCAGAGAGAGAGAGAGAGAGCAGGUCCAGCCUUCUGCAGGAAUAGCAGGGGUGACCUUACCUCUCUGCAGCACCUGGAAGGCGGCAAGCAAAUUAAAUCUACACAUCAGGAUGUGUGUGUGUGUGCAGGUGCGUGUCGAAGCAGUCAGCAAAGACAGCAGUGUGUAUAUCUGCUACUGAGUGUUUGGAAGCCACAGACUGAGGAUCCUACAACCAUGUUCUAAUUUGGAUUGUUAACAUGAUUUAAGGGAGGUUACUCGUUCCUUCCCACCAGCUGUUCACAUCUUCCUCCUUCGGUCUGGCUAAAAGCUCACAACAGCAACAAUACACAGGGGGCUAUUUAGAAUACUUGUGAUAAACACAUACGCUGUGUAGGUAGACUGAUGGACCUGGUAACCGCUGGUUGUUUCAAUGCCAGUUUUAAAACAAUGCCAGUUGAGUGCCCCUGGGGAGAUAGGGCGGAAUACAAAUAAAUUAUUAUUAUUAUUAUUAUUAUUAUUAUUAUUAUUAUUAUUAUUAUUAUUAUUAUGACACAGCAAAAAAGAUAGAUAUGCUGGAUUUCAUAUCACAAAAUCACAAGUCAAACACUUCCCAAGUGUCUAGGACUGUGUGGCAUAUUUUCGGAUGAUGCGUGCAGAUCCCAGUAGGGUGGCCUUUUGCAGUUGGCAGAUCAUAAUUUUGUCAAUGUCUAUUGUUUCCAAAUGCCGGCUGAGAUCUUUUGGCACGGCACCCAAUGUGCCGAUCACCACCGGGACCACCUGCACUGGUUUCUGCCAGAGUCUUUGAGGUCCUGAUAGCGGCUGAGUUUUUCCUGUUGUUUUUCGUCAAUGCGACUGUCACCUGGGAUGGCAACAUCGAUAAUCCAAGCCUUUUUUUCCCCCACAACUGUGAUGUCUGGUGUGUUGUGUUCCAGAACUUUACCAGUUUGGAUUCAGAAGUCCCGCAAUAUCUUUGCGUGCUCAUUUUCCAAUACUUUUGCAGAGACUGCUGUGUGUUAUGCAUUUCUCCUUGCUGGAAAGGAAUAUGGGUAUGGAGAAAGAAAACAACAUUUCUAGCCAAGCCGUGAAAUUGGAUCCAUGUUCUGGGGAAGGAAAUAACCAUCUUAUAUGGUGUUUGAGGACUUUGCUGAAAUCCCAGGAGAGGCAAAGUAGAGAGGAAGAGAAGGAAAGAAACCCUCUUGGUGCUUCCUCCAAGACUUUCAUUAGACUUCACUUGUAGGCUCGACUUUCUUCCUUUGCCAAGUGACAACUGAUCAUUUCCUGCAGCCUGCCUUUGGAUCAACAGAAGAUAAAAUAUUUAUGACCCGGUGGGCAGUCUUGACUGCCAAACACUGUGAGAUCUGGCCUUUCUCCCUGCUUGUGAAAGGCCCCAUAUUUAUGGAAGGGACCGUCUUUUCCGCUCCAGGGAAUGUGACAGGUACAGUGUCCAGCCAUGCUUUGAAAUGCAAUGACGGCUCCAAUUAAGAGGGAGGCCGUGAGUCCAAGGAUGUUAUGAGAACUGAUACCAGUGAAUCUUCUGGAGGAAGUGGAAUGUAUGCAUGCUCAGGGGCAUACUUCCUAGUCAGGUUUCUUGAAAAAAGGAGUUUGUGUUGGAAAUAGCAACCUCCCAAGCCUUUCACUAUUUACUUGUUAAUGUAUAUAUUUUCUAACCUGUAUUCUAUGUGCAUGUGGAUUUGCCAAUUUAACUGUACCUCUUUGGUGUGGGAGGGGUUAUAGACAUGUGAUUGUACUGAACAUAUUUAGAAUCAAGACUCCAUUCUAUAAUCAGUCUGUUCUACACCUCUGUUUGUAUCAAACCUCAGUUGUUAGGGAUUCCUCUUCUUCAGAAGCGGAAGGGGAGCAGGAAAGUGUUCAUGAAUCUGAGGGUGAGUUGGAUUCUGAGGAGGAGAUUUUGCAAGUAUCCACUUUUCAAGAGAGGCGAAAGGAAACAGAGCAGAGACGUCGUUCAGCUAGAAUAGCUGCCAGAAAUGCAGCUGAGUAAUUAGGAACUGCCCUAGCAGCUGGGAGGGGACUCAGGGCUAUAAAGCAGAAGCAGGUGCAGCCAGCUCUUGCUGGUAACAAACUGAUUCUAAUGCCUUCGCUCUCCUUGUGCCUGUUUCGAGUCUGCAUCUGGGAAACUGCUCCUAAGGAUCUACUGCUGUUUCUUUGUCUGAAGUAAGACUGCUAUUUGAUUUGGGAAUUUGUCAGAGACUAAGAACUGUGUUUGCCGUAAGACUUCCUUGCUUCCUUUUGCAUUAUUCCACUGAGUGUGCUGUACUUUAUGUUUUGCUGAAGUAAAGCAGUUUUCAUUUACUUACCACAGUGUUUGAAGGCUGUUCUUGAAAGACAAAACAGGACAUCAGUAGAGGUGGAUGCAUGUUGCUGUUUGGACUUCUCUACUUCUCUAAUUUUAGAGAAGUUCGAUUUAUGGACUUCAGUGGGUACAAUUAUACCUAAAGACUAUUGAUUAAGAAUGAUACCCUGUGCCCAGAGACUGGGUGCAGUUAUUUCCAAUAGUUUGUGAUUUCGGUGGCCUUAUAUGCUAGACUUUUCCUUUCGCUAAACAGAAUUCCUUCAGUGGAGAGAGACUGGUCUGGCUUUUCUUUGAAAUAAUCUGACAGAUGAUCAAAAAAAAUCGGUGUCUCAUUAGCACUCAGAAAUCACUUGAAGCUGCAGUCAUGUUGAAACAAAUAUCCAAGUGUGAAACUCAUGGAUGUGAGAGAAGCAUUCUGCACAGGGAUAAACAGUGGCAGCCAGUGACUGUCGUCUCAGUUCUAUGUGAACCUGAUUAGAGUUUAGUCCAAACUUUAAAGGACAGAUCUGAUUCAAAACCUUGAAUUGCACUUCUGAAGUUCAGACUAAAGUGUAGGGUGGAUUCACAAAUGCUUUCCUCUGGUUGCUAUAUAUCCGGCCCUGCCUUGGAGUCUUCAGUUUUCGUAGGCCACCUCCAAUAAGGAGAUGAAGAUGCAAAUUUUCCAAUUUGUGGGUAUUCCGCUCCAGACAGGUGGAUAGGAUUGUGUACAAAUCUCCCAACACAGCUAGCGGAGUUUGCUACAAUUUGCAAGGAUUAAUGUAUUUGGUGCUGAAAUUUGCAAAGAUUCUCAAGGGAGAAGCUGUGCAUUAAUUUAAUUAGUUUCCAUUUUCCUUCCCAGACAUUGUUUCUCCCAGUUCACUAUCCAUUCUGCUUCGCUAUGCUCUGCAUCCAUCUUCAAGCUAGAAUAGGCUAGAUGAAAUGUUCCAUAUCCCAUGACUUUGGGCAAGUCACACUUUCUCAUCUUAAGGGGAAGGCAAUGGUAAACGUCUUUUGAGCAAAUCUUGCCAAGAAACUGGAUUGCUGUGAGUCUAAAUCCAGUGAUAGGGUUGUCAUGGGUCAGAAAUGACUUGAAGCGGCACAACAACCCUAUCUCCUUAAGUAAGUGAGAAGACAUUAUCUUCUAAGCUCCGAAUUGUUAUACCCCAGCCACCUUUGGGUUCUGAACCUGGUUCAGAAAUGAACUUUGACCAGGAUGAAGCUUAUUCUGACUUUUUACCCAGUUCUCCGAGCUCCUUCCAAUUACAGACCCCAGCUGUGGAUAGGGAGUUUUUGCAUUGCCAGAGAUCACAGAAACAGGAGCUUCGAAGAAGUCAACGUUUGGCAUCUAGAGGGGAUACUGGAUAGGAGAUUUCCUUGGGAACCUUUGGGGAGUUGGUUUCCCUUUGCUGUGAUUAGAUCUAAGUUCCAUAAAAGUGUAUUGCACUGUGAACAAUUCGUAGUGUCAACAUAGCGACUUCUGAGAACACUUCACCGUUUCCAGUUCCCUAAUUUCAUCAAGCCAAGUCUCCUGUUCCUGGCGGCCAAGCCGAGCCGCGACUCCCGAUUUAAUCCAGAGUAAAUUCAUGUCCUUGCCUUGUUCCUGAAUCCAGAUUGCUUUUAGCUUCGUCCUCUGCCUGCCUUGAUAUCCAAGACUUCCUAGUGACUUUGGACCUUGUUAUUCACUCCUGCUUUCUUCUUGUUUCCCUGCUCAAGAACUUCCCAAUAGUUUUGAGCGUGUUUCGGUGUCUGGACUUUGGACAAUAAUAUUGGACAUAUCUCUUCAACUCUUUGGACUAAUUCAUACCAUUUCUUAAAGGACUAUUGUUCACUCAUCCUUUCCACUUAUUCUUUCCUGAAUUUAUUAUUGUUUUAAUAAAGAUAUUAUAUGAUUA